rnacentral:rRNA from 1 species
ACGAACGCUGGCGGCGUGCUUAACACAUGCAAGUCGAACGGAAAGGCCCCUUUGGGGGUACUCGAGUGGCGAACGGGUGAGUAACACGUGAGUAACCUGCCCUUGACUUCGGGAUAACGUCAGGAAACUGGGGCUAAUACCGGAUAGGAAUCCUUGCUGCAUGGUGGGGGUUGGAAAGCUUCGGCGGUUUUGGAUGGACUCGCGGCUUAUCAGCUUGUUGGUGGGGUAGUGGCUUACCAAGGCUUUGACGGGUAGCCGGCCUGAGAGGGCGACCGGCCACAUUGGGACUGAGAUACGGCCCAGACUCCUACGGGAGGCAGCAGUGGGGAAUAUUGCACAAUGGGCGGAAGCCUGAUGCAGCAACGCCGCGUGCGGGAUGACGGCCUUCGGGUUGUAAACCGCUUUCAGCAGGGGCGAAGCUUGUGGUGACGGUACCUGCAGAAGAAGCACCGGCUAACUACGUG